AUACUUUCAAAUGUCUUUUUCUGGGAAUUGGCUGGCGGUUUCUCCAGGGAGAGGCUCUUCCAUUGCACUUGGGUCGAGCUGACCUCUGCGAUUACUCCUAAUGCGAGUAACUCGGGCGCAUAAUUUUUGGUUGUCGGGACAGCGUUCGCGCUGUCCCGGU
rnacentral:snRNA from 1 species